ACCAAGACCUGUAAAACUCUAGUCUACAUAUUCUGACUGCAACCCAGACGCUUUAAUUAAGCUAAGGCCUU
rnacentral:tRNA from 1 species